GACGAACGCUGGCGGCGUGCUUAACACAUGCAAGUCGAACGGAAAGGCCCUGCUUUUGUGGGGUGCUCGAGUGGCGAACGGGUGAGUAACACGUGAGUAACCUGCCCUUGACUUUGGGAUAACUUCAGGAAACUGGGGCUAAUACCGGAUAGGAGCUCCUGCUGCAUGGUGGGGGUUGGAAAGUUUCGGCGGUUGGGGAUGGACUCGCGGCUUAUCAGCUUGCUGGUGGGGUAGUGGCUUACCAAGGCUUUGACGGGUAGCCGGCCUGAGAGGGUGACCGGCCACAUUGGGACUGAGAGACGGCCCAGACUCCUACGGGAGGCAGCAGUGGGAAAUAUUGCACAAUGAGCGGAAGCCUGAUGCAGCAACGCCGCGUGCGGGAUGACGGCCUUCGGGUUGUAAACCGCUUUCGCCUGUGACGAAGCGUGAGUGACGGUAAUGGGUAAAGAAGCACCGGCUAACUACGUG
rnacentral:rRNA from 1 species